AUGGUCCAGCUGCGUCUUGUCCAGCUAAUACCGCUACGCCCAUUCCUCCUUACUAGACCGCCCUCACAGUAACGCCCCUUUGGCUGUUCAAGUUUCUGAAGUCAGUAUGCUGCCGAAUGACAACACUUGUAAGCGCCCCGCGGGACUUAUUAAAACGACUGGAUGGAUUUCGCUGGAUGGAUUUCGCUGCAGCGAUCACUCAACUGUCGGUAAGAUUUCGAAUAAAAUGCAUGAAUAUACAUAACGGUUACUUUACGAGUUGACUUAGUCGGAGUGCGAACAGAAAGUCGGAGGUGUCAUAUUUGUUCAACCUGGUGUUAAACGUAAUUUCAAUUCUUGACCAGUGCAUGUAAAGAAAUUGUAAAUAAAACCGACUUGAUGUAGUAGUGCUAAAAAUAAACCUUUAUAUUUUCUCUUAGUGAACUUCUCAAAAUAUAUGGGCUAAUGUAGAUACCACUUGGGAUGGGUUUAUCGUUACCUAUUGUUUCUGAUGGGGCGUUAAUUGGUGUGGCACCCGGAACUCUUCCUCACUUCAGGAAGAUUGGCAAGGGAUAUAAGAAGUUGGGGUUGGGGUUGAUGAUCCACAUGAUGGUGAUGGACCAGGACAGCUCUGGACCUCCUGAUUGGCAGCUCCAUCCUCAACCUCCCUUCCUGUCCUUCACACAUGUGCAGACAGAGGCAGUUUUCUGAAGGAUGGUUAAUGUCAGUAUCAACAUGUUGUGAUGGAGGCUUCCACCUGAGCUGAACACAGAAACUUGCACACAGUGAUGGAAGCAGUCGUUCCUGUUCAGCAUUGAUAUGCCGGUAAUGGGUUUGAUGAGCCACAGCGUGGUGAUGGGCAAUCAGCAUCAGGACCAGGGCCGCUCACAAGGAGAACCUCCUGCCCUGCCUCUUCAUCCUCAACCUCCAAUCUUCCUGCUCUUCACACAUGUGCAGGCACAGAGCCAGUUUUCAGAGGGAGGGCUGAUGACACCAGCAACUUCGGAUCUGAACCUGAUCAACCCAGCACCAACCACUGUGCCGCUCCUCCUCUGCCAACUGCACCACAUGGCUCCACCAUCUCAAAAAGGCACAGACACUACUCCACUUCCUGCGAAGGAUGAGAGAAGAGCCGACCUCCCCACAACGGCACUCACCACCUUCUACAGGGGUGUCAUUGAGAGCAUCCUGACCAGCAGCCUCUCUGUCUGGCAUGGCAGCCGUCAAGCUGAAGACUAGAAGGCAGUACAGAGAGUGGUGAGGACAGCAGAAAAGCUCAUAAGAUCACCCCUACCUGUUCUCCCUACUACCAUCAGGGAAGCGCUAGCCCAGCAUGCGGUGCUGCAAAAGCACACUGGGAAACGACUUCUUUCCACAAGCCAUCAGACUCCUCAACGCACUGAAGAAAACCACAUGAAUAACCAAGGACACGGGAGAAUAUUCCAUGAACACUUCUUUCACCAUGCCACUUACACUUUACUCAUUGCACCUUGUAUACAGCAUCUUCACACCACCUGUAUGAACUCCUCCUGCUGUGUGUGUGUGUGUGUCCACUGUGUUUGUGUAUUUAUUGUCCAUCAGUAUGUUAAUCUUAUUAUUGCACACUGUUUGGGUGUCUGUAUUUAUAGUAUGUAUCAGUCUAUAUUUAAUGCCAAUGCCUUAUUUUUAGUUAUUAGUUAAAUGCACAUUGGAGACUGGUCAAACACAAUUUCAAACUUUGUGUUAACCCUCUUGUUGACCCUUCACACUUCAUAGUGU